rnacentral:rRNA from 1 species
AGCAGCCGCGGUAAUUCCAGCUCCAAUAGCGUAUAUUAAAGUUGUUGCAGUUAAAAAGCUCGUAGUUGAAUUUCGGGAUUGACGUGAUGGUCAUGCCUUAAGGGGUAUGAACUGUUACUGUUGAUUUCUCACCUUCUGGAGAAACUUGAUGUCCUUUAUUGGGUGUCUUGCGGAUCCAGGACCUUUACCUUGAAAAAAUUUAGAGUGUUUAAAGCAGGCAUUUUUGCUCGAAUACAUUAGCAUGGAAUAAUAGAAUAGGACGGCAUGGUUCUAUUUUGUUGGUUUCUAGGAUCACCGUAAUGAUUAAUAGGGAUAGUUGGGGGCAUUAGUAUUCAAUUGUCAGAGGUGAAAUUCUUGGAUUUAUUGAAGACUAACUACUGCGAAAGCAUUUGCCAAGGAUGUUUUCAUUAAUCAAGAACGAAAGUUAGGGGAUCGAAGACGAUCAGAUACCGUCGUAGUCUUAACCAUAAACUAUGCCGACUAGGAAUCAGACGAUGUUAAUUUUUUCAAUGACUCG